rnacentral:misc_RNA from 1 species
GAUGAAGGACGUAGCGAAAUGCGAUAAGUAAUGUGAAUUGCAGAAUUCAGUGAAUCAUCGAAUCUUUGAACGCACAUUGCGCCCCUUGGUAUUCCGAGGGGCAUGCCUGUUCGAGCGUCAUUAUAACCCUUCAAGCUCAGCUUGGUGUUGGGGCCUGCUGUAACUGGUAGCCCUUAAAAUCAGUGGCAGUGCUAUUAGGCUCUAAGCGUAGUAAUUCUUCUCGCUAUAGUGUGUAGUGAGCGCUUGCCAGAACCCCAAACUUUUAUAUGAUUGACCUCGGAUCAGGUAGGGAUACCCGCUGAACUUAAGCAUAUCAAUAAGCGGAGGA